rnacentral:rRNA from 1 species
CUGCUGCCUUCCGUAGGAGUCUGGUCCGUGUCUCAGUACCAGUGUGGGGGACCUUCCUCUCAGAACCCCUACGCAUCGUCGCCUCGGUGGGCCGUUACCCCGCCGACUAGCUAAUGCGCCGCAUGCCCAUCCCCCGCCGGAAUCGCUUCCUUUGGCCGCAGACCCAUGCAGGUCCGCGGCGUUACGCGGUAUUAGUCGGGAUUUCUCCCGGUUAUCCCCUGCGGGGGCAGGUCGCAUACGUGUUACUCACCGUGCGCCGGUCGCCGGC